GGCCAAGUUUAUAAGGGCGCACGGUGGAUGCCUUGGCACCAGGAACCGAUGAAGGACGUGGGAGGCCGCGAUAGGCCCCGGGGAGCUGUCAACCGAGCUUUGAUCCGGGGGUGUCCGAAUGGGGAAACCCGGCAGUCGUCAUGGGCUGUCACCCUUACCUGAACACAUAGGGUAAGUGGAGGGAACGAGGGGAAGUGAAACAUCUCAGUACCCUCAGGAAGAGAAAACAACCGUGAUUCCGGGAGUAGUGGCGAGCGAAACCGGAUGAGGCCAAACCGUAUGCGUGUGAUACCCGGCAGGGGUUGCGCAUGCGGGGUUGUGGGAUCUCUCUUCUGUCGUCUGCCGGCGACAGGACGAGUCAGAAACCGUUGAUGUAGGCGAAGGACAUGCGAAAGGUCCGGCGUAGAGGGUAAGACCCCCGUAGCUGAAACAUUGACGGCUCGUUUGAGAGACACCCAAGUAGCACGGGGCCCGAGAAAUCCCGUGUGAAUCUGGCGGGACCACCCGCUAAGCCUAAAUAUUCCCUGGUGACCGAUAGCGGAUAGUACCGUGAGGGAAUGGUGAAAAGUACCGCGGGAGCGGAGUGAAAUAGUACCUGAAACCGUGUGCCUACAAGCCGUGGGAGCGUCGGACAUGCUUUGCAUGUCUCGUGACUGCGUGCCUUUUGAAGAAUGAGCCUGCGAGUUUGCGGUGCGUUGCGAGGUUAACCCGUGUGGGGAAGCCGUAGCGAAAGCGAGUCCGAAUAGGGCGAUCGAGUAGCGCGCUCAAGACCCGAAGCGGAGUGAUCUAGCCAUGGGCAGGUUGAAGCGGAGGUAAGACUUCGUGGAGGACCGAACCCACCAGGGUUGAAAACCUGGGGGAUGACCUGUGGUUAGGGGUGAAAGGCCAAUCAAACUCCGUGAUAGCUGGUUCUCCCCGAAAUGCAUUUACGUGCAGCGUCGUGUGUUUCUUGCCGGAGGUAGAGCACUGGAUAGGCGAUGGGCCCUACCGGGUUACUGACCUUAGCCAAACUCCGAAUGCCGGUAAGUGAGAGCGCGGCAGUGAGACUGUGGGGGAUAAGCUCCAUGGUCGAGAGGGAAACAGCCCAGAGCAUCGACUAAGGCCCCUAAGCGUACGCUAAGUGGGAAAGGAUGUGGAGUCGCAGAGACAACCAGGAGGUUGGCUUAGAAGCAGCCACCCUUGAAAGAGUGCGUAAUAGCUCACUGGUCAAGUGAUUCCGCGCCGACAAUGUAGCGGGGCUCAAGCGUACCGCCGAAGUCGUGUCAUUGCAGCAUAAGCCCCAACGGGUGCUGUGAUGGGUAGGGGAGCGUCGUGUGCCGGGUGAAGCAGCCGCGGAAGCGAGUUGUGGACGGUUCACGAGUGAGAAUGCAGGCAUGAGUAGCGAUACACACGUGAGAAACGUGUGCGCCGAUUGACUAAGGGUUCCUGGGUCAAGCUGAUCUGCCCAGGGUAAGUCGGGACCUAAGGCGAGGCCGACAGGCGUAGUCGAUGGACAACCGGUUGAUAUUCCGGUACCCGCUUUGAAGCGCCAGCGCUGAACCCAGCGAUGCUAAGCCCGUGAAACCGCCGUGUGCGUCUUCGGACAAGCACGGAGUGGUGGAGCCGGUGGCCCAGACUGGUAGUAGGUGAGCGAUGGGGUGACGCAGGAAGGUAGUCCAGCCCGGGCGGUGGUUGUCCCGGGGUAAGGGUGUAGGCCGUGUGGUAGGCAAAUCCGUCACACGUUAAGGCUGAGACCU
rnacentral:rRNA from 1 species